GAGGUUGUCAAGGUAACUGGCCAGGCUGCCUCUCUGGAAUCCUGUGGUUCGUGAUGACAGGUUCUCCCAACCAGCCCAGCCAAGCUCAGGGAAUCCACUUGAAGAGGCCAAAGAAGCCACAAGUUACUCCAUCCCUGAGUGAACUGCUAGAAGGCUAGAAUCCUAGCCAUAAAAUGGUGCAAUAUUGUGAGCUGCCCUAUGGAGAGGCCAUGUUGCAAGGAACUGUGGGAAGUCCAUAGCUGGUGUGCCCAACAACCUGCAAGGGACUGAAUCUUACCAGCAGCCAUGUACGUGAACUGAGGAGCAAAUCCUUUCUCAGAAGAAUCUUCCGAUAAGACUCAGCUCUAGUUAACACCUUGACUGCAGCCUUGUGGGAGACCUUGAGGAAGAGGCACCCAGCUAAGCCACAGCUGGAUUCCUGCUCCCACAAAAACUAGAGACUCUUGAGAGAUGCAGUAGCAGCAUGAAUCCUCCAAAGCUUUCUGGGGCACCAGGCACGCAGUUCAUCACGAAGCGCAGGCAUCUCAAGAACACGCUCCCUUCUAUUUGCUCACUCUCCUUCCCCACCUCACCCCACUUCCUUUCUCACUCCUACAUUCCUAGGAUUCAGUCUUUAAUAAAGUGUUGGCACAUAAUCUUUA